rnacentral:rRNA from 1 species
UACAGAGGGGGCAAGCGUUGUUCGGAAUUAUUGGGCGUAAAGGGCGCGUAGGCGGUGCGGUAAGUCUGUAGUGAAAUCUCUGGGCUCAACUCAGAGUCUGCUAUAGAAACUGCCGUGCUAGAGUGUGGGAGAGGUGAGUGGAAUUCCCGGUGUAGCGGUGAAAUGCGUAGAUAUCAGGAGGAACACCUGUGGUGUAGACAGCUUACUGGACCACUUCUGACGCUGAGACGCGAAAGCGUGGGUAGCAAACAGG